UGCACUCCAGCCUGGGCAACAGAGCAAAACCUGUCUCAAAAAUAAAAAUAAAAAUAAAAAUAAAAAAAUUCAUUGAAUGCCUGAGCUAACACUGAACCUUAAAUGCACUAACAGCAAAUCCCACAUACCCUUCCAGCAAGUACUCUGGACUAGGAGUGGGAAUAAGAAAGGGGCACCAGGAAGGGUAAGGGUAGACAAUGAUCUAGGAAUGAGAAAAUUCAGCAAUCCUUUUUAUUUAGCUCUUUGGUGCCAACACAGUGCCUAUGUACCCAUAUGCACACCCCCCUCCCCCAAGGCUUACAGUCUGAGGGAAAAAAAACCACAGUCCCCACCCAACCUGGGACAAAACUAGACGACCUCGUUGGGGGGCGUGGAGGGAGUGAUCGCCCCCCCACCAAGGAAGCUAGAGAACGCCGCCAGGGCACACAGGUCGCCUCUGCUGAGUCUGUGGGUUCCGUCCGGGCUGAGCGCCGGCAGCAGCCUGGCCUCCCAUCCCUUCCUCUGGGUUCCUUUCUAAAGGGGCAAGCGUGCUCCCAAAGAAGUCGCUAGUAUUUGAGGCCAUCUGGUGGAGAGCAAGGGCAUGGUAACCGAGGGAUCAAAGCCGGGCUUGCCUCCCGGGAGCUCGCAGAGACUGGGCUGCGUCUGCGGCGAGGAAGGACAAAGCAGAGCCACCUGAGGCCGAGCGGGAGCCAGACCCAGGGAUGAUCGUCCUGGAGUGCCCCUCUGCACCCUGGAGGGGACGCAGGACGCCCGGAGCAGUCCCAGGCCCUGCCCCUCGCUGCACCCACGGAGCUCCUCAGGGCCUUACAUCUAGAAGAGGGUCUGAGACUGCCUAUUGAAUUAGCAGCAGCAGCCAUCAGCCAAGGAGGGAAGCCAACUCUUUAUGGAAAGGAAUGCCUCUUUGAUAACCAGGCCCUGAGUCUGUUUCCAGCUCGCUUUGUCCUCCACACUAAAUGAGGACCAAGAAAAAUCAACAAUGAUUCUAAGCAUCAUGGAGACUUAGAUGUGUUCUCAAAAGUGAAACCAGGCGGACAUGGUGGCUCACACCUGCAAUCCCGGCACUUUGGGAGGCUGAGGUGGGAGGAUCACUUGAGGACAGGAGUUCGAGACCAGCCUGGCC